AGGGCCUUGAGAUAUGUUACGACAAAGCUCUUUAAUUGGGUAUUUGCUACGGUCCGGAAGAUGUGAGAUGUCAUGAAGAACUUUUUGAGAAGAUGUCUUUGCUACAGCAGUUUCAGUUUAUACGUCCUGAAAACUUGGAUAUGAAACCAGAAUAUCAGAAUGAAACAUCAUGGCUACCAGUUGAAAUUGUCGCACCCCGAUCACAUGCUAGUUUAAUCAACCGCACCAGCAGAAGAUAACUUUGACAUGGCUCUCCAAGCUGUUGCUUGAGACCCCCAACGUGAUUACAAUUAUAGCGCACUGAGCCUCUCAUGUUUCAGCUUGAAGUGAUGUAGCACAGGGAAUUGUAUUGUUUUCUGCUUUAUAUUGUUCUAUGGAAUACCGUAUUCCAAUCCUGUACACUCAAACAUCUGAUUUUGAUGUUACAUAUUGUGAUAGUGAUGGUACUGGUAUUCCAUAUUAUUUACUGUGGUGAUUAUGUUUUGGUUCUA